rnacentral:rRNA from 1 species
CGUAGGCGGUCUUGUAAGUCAGGUGUGAAAGCCCGGGGCUUAACCCCGGAAGUGCACUUGAAACUAUAAGACUUGAGUAUGGGAGAGGGAAGUGGAAUUCCUGGUGUAGCGGUGAAAUGCGUAGAUAUCAGGAGGAACACCGGUGGCGAAGGCGACUUCCUGGACCAAUACUGACGCUGAGGCGCGAAGGCGUGGGGAGCAAACA